CGUAUUGUGUUAUGUGGCUCUUUUAUUUUGAAGCGCAGAUUGUUGCGUGACGUCAGGUGUGCUUCCGGGAAAAAAGGGACCCGGGAGAAAGGGGCGGGAGUUUUUGUUCUGUGUAGUUCCGGGGGAGCUUAAAGACUGUGGUGAGACCUGUUGUGACCCCGCUGUUGUUAUAAGAAAAUAAAAAGAAGUGCUGUUCACACCGAGGCUCGUAACAAUAUUCAUCCUGCUGCAGCCAGGUUUCAGUGAGACAGAACAGAUCUAUGUAAUGGUCACUUAUCAAGUCAUUUAUUAAAAAGGAUUUAGAUGAGAGAGAUCUGAUAUUUAAUAAACCACACUUUAUUAGCUUACUGUUACUUUGUUCCGUAAGAGGAACUGUUUUGAUGUUUAUUAAAUUCUGGUAAGUCACUCCUCUUUGAUUUGUUUGUGACUUGUAUAGUUUAGGUGGUCGAGAAGCAGACACAGUCUCUAUGCAAUAACUAAGACUAAGAGUGGGUCGCGGCUGUAGAGAACGUGCAGAGAGGCGUGUAAGACUGCGACUCUGCGUCCUGGGCUCCACUCUGAGUUGUCACGGAGUGGGGAGGCUAAGCAACAUGGCCAUGUUACUAGAAAGCAGAGAGGCUCCGUUCAACGUGGGAUGGACGCCGUCUCUUCUAAUCAGCCCAGGUUUUCCCCAAGAAAUGCUCCAAUUAGCCACAAAGCCCACAUCGUUUGCAGGACACCACCUAGACAACCAGCGGUGGAGCGAUGACAGCCGGCUAUACAUGUCAUCGCUGGUCACAUUGGGGAGGGGUCCAGAGAAAACUACAGAGUCCGACAUUGUUUUGGUGGUGAACCGUGGGCGCCUGCCUAAAGCUACGUUUCUUACGAGCCGUGACCCAGUCGUUACCCAGCUGCCUGGGACCUGCCGGGGGACUGGUAGCAGCUAAGCUAGGAGGCUCCGCACCGGCUAAAGGGACCUGGCUAGCUGGCCUGUUUUCUAAAGAGCGAAGCCGAGACUCUAAGUCUAACAACCUCGCCUCCAACCCUGCAACUAGCGUACACCUAUUACAGAUACCAUUACCAUCACUAAAGGAGGCAGAGGAUAAGCUAAACAUAAGACACACCGAGCACCGAACAGAGCGAGAGGGAGAGGAAAAGGGGGAAGUCAUAGCAGGAAAGUAAGCUAGGAGAAAACACUUAGAUAACAGUGUAAAUUAGCAGGACGUUUAAUGAAAGGAAAAGAUGCUUGAGUGUUACAAGCUUUGUUUGCAACUUUUAGCAGUCGCUAUCAGAUAUAAAACGAUAAUAUUUAGAAAACAGCGGAGAGUAACGCUGUACACACACAGCGGCAGCAAACCCCAGUAACCGGAAGUGACGCGAUACGCUUACCGUCAGUCAGCCAACCACCAGAGCUCAGCUCAAACCCUAUACAGAUACAAGGAAAUGAACGAUUUCUGAUUUCUGACAUUCAUUUAUUUGUCACCUGAUUGUUAUGGGAAAAAUUGUCUCUUCCUUAUUUCUAUGCAUUUCUAUGCAGUUAUUAUACGAGUUAUGACUUAUGUUCUGCAAUUAAUAUCUUAUGUUUUGUCUUACUGUAUGCAUUUGACAUUUCACCUAGAUUGUUCAAUGGUUGUCUCUGCCUGAUAGACUCUCAACUCUAGCUCCCAAACCCAAGGUCGGGGAGUUGUGUCUCUGUCUGUUGAGACUUGGUGCUCCUUUCUCACAGAUAGUUGGACGUCAGCGAUGCAGGUGUGAGAAAGUAAAAAUCUUCACACACACUGCGACAGGGAGGAGAUGGUGCAUGUAAUUUGAUUGGGUUAGAAAGACAUUCCACCCUAGUCGGACAGAGAAGCUAAAAGGCAGAAGCAACUUGAGGAUCGUGGGCUCUUUGCAUCACACCUUCGUGGUGUGUGCACUGAUCUCCCCAGCUGGUUUUUGGUUUGUUGAUGUGCACGAUCAACAUCCAUGCUUUUUAUUUGCUUUCCCCAUUAUUUUUAUUUUCUUUAUUAUUUCAAUAAAUCGCACAAAAGGACAACUCUCUCAUCUACUUCUUUAUGGAAAAUUUCCACCACAGAAAUUGGCGUCACGAACAGGAUCCCGCUGCAGGUCGUCUGGACGAUGUGACCAGGGACGAUAGUCCUGAGGACUAGGGUCGCUCAGCCUCCAAACCUCUACAGACAUUCAGAGCUGGGAGGACUGCUCACCCGUCUGGAUCGCCUCUGACGAGAUCCACGAACUCAGAUUCAAACUCAAAUCCUAAUUUGGCUCGGCUCGGUGAGAGAGAUUCCUUUUGAUUUGGGAAAAAACAAAAAGAUUGGAACUUUUAUUUUUAAUUUAGCUGAAACAUUUCAAUUGGUUGAAAAAAAAAGGAAAGAAAUCUUCUGUUUGGUUGAAACACUAAAUUUGAUUAGGAAAAUUAAUUAGAUCGAGAAAAAAGAAAAAAAAAUCCCAAUAAUACAUGUUCUUAAUUAGGAAGUCUGCUCUGGGUGGUGAGACGUCGGUUGCUAAGGGUUGGCUCGUGGAACCGAGCUUCCGUCUGUACUGAGGAUACAGACCAGUGUGCAGAUCUGAGCGCAGUCCAAAGGGUGUGGACAAGGAAAUAAAAGACGGCUUCUGAAAUACGGAGCGCGUUUGCAGGGGGAAGUGGUUUUGAGAUACGAGGGACCCGGGUCUUAGAGGGGCCUGACGGUGAGGGACCACUUCCGAGAACCCUGUCGCUGAUCUGAGCGGUUCCCUUUCUACGGAGACGUCCGUGGAAGAGAAAUUUCGAAAAAAGGUUCCGGCCGGAACACAAAAAAGUCUAAGGCAGAAAACCGCUGGGACUCUGAAAGAUGGGUUCGGGGCGAUCUAAGUCUCCACCACCAGACUGCAGCAUUACAAAAGUAAAAGUAAUUAAAAGUAAAAAGUUAAUAUGGUUAUUAGUGCGUUUCAUGUUUCCAUGAGUGGGAAACUGGUUAUGGGUUCAAAAGGAGAAUCGCUUUGUGUAAGGACAUACGCACCUUAAAAGAAAAAUUAGAGACAAAAGAAAAUACUUGAAAAAGCAAAACUAUCAAAACUAAAGCCCUAAAAGAAACAAGAGAGAUGAGAGUAACAGGAAAAAAGGAGAUAACAACUCUGGGGAAGAAUUGUUUGCAUACACCACACACACAUCAUGUUAAGAGCAAAUGCUCCCAUUGUUUCUGCUCUUUGUCCUAAUGCAGAACCGAGCGCGAUGAGGGUAAAUCCGGAUCUGGACUCCUUUCCCACCAUCAGCAGAAGAACCGAAGGAGAAGAAGCGCCUGUCCAACAACCAGAACAGGGUGGAAGCUCUGACACCACAGCAGCUGGAGGACACAGACCACAGCAUGGACGCCUCAGCGACUCUCACAACGUCUGCAGCCAUCACGUUCUGGGCUCAUCAGAUGAACCAGCUACUACAAGCCCUGCACCAGCAUGAAAGGACUGUGUCUGAAGCUUCUGAAGCCGUGAAAGUGUCAUACACGCGUGUGUGUCUGACAGACACCUGCUUAUGACAAUCAGCAAAGGAAAACAAGGACAGAGCAACAGCAGAGAAGACGUGCUCUGACACAGACACUGGUUGAAACAACAGGAGAGGCUUCAGACGUGAUCGGCCCAAUAGAGCUGCAUGCGAGGAUCCAGGAAAGGUCUGUCAUCGAGGAACAACUGUCCCAUCGAAAGGCUUCACCCACUGGCGCUCACAUCAGACUGAUGGUUGGAGAAGGAGGAAGGUGACGGUUCCUUUUCACGUGACGUACAAGACGGUACCGCAAACACACACACACACACAUUCAUACACGCAAUGAAGAAACACGCUUACAGCUGAUACACGCUCAAAUUCAUGUUCAUGCUUAUCUGCUCGCAAUGAAGAAUCGCUUUUUGCUCAAAAAAAAAUCCCAGAGUGAUUUUCAAAUUAUGACAAACAGCUAAAUGACAACUGCUGCAUGACUUUACAGUCUGAUGGGUUUAAACUAUUUUAACUUGCAACAAAUUCAGUAAUAAAAUCCUUCAUGUUUCUAAAAAUACUUGUGCACAAUAUAGGUUUGUCUGGCCAGACUAUAGAAAAACAAAAUCAGACUAUAGAAAAACAAAACAGACUGUAGAAAAACAAAACAGACUGUAGAAAAAAACAAAAAAACAGACUAUAGGAAGACUGAGACUGACUGAAACAGACUAUUAAUGACUAUUAAAGGGAAGACGACUAUUAGAGAGAAGUAAUAAUAAUUACUGUACGUACCAGACUAUUAAAGAAAACUUACUGUUUCACUGUCUUGUGCAACAUCUGCAGCAAGACACCUUAACAUUCAUUUUUGCUUUCAAACUUGUGCCCAGUUAAAUUUUUAGGAAGAGAUCUCAUGUAGUUUAGAUAUUUGAUUGAUUUCCACUCCAGACGGAGUGCAGGUUACAUCUACAGACAUUCUAAAUAAUCCUUCUUUUGUUGGUGUUAACUUCAUCUCAGCUGUGCUCUUAUCAUUGGCUGCUGAGGGGGGGGCUGUAACUGAGGCCCUCACACAGGCUGCAUCACAGUUUGUUUAUGAUUUCACACACACACACAAACUGACCUCAACUUCCCUCUUUUGGGAUGAACACAGGUCUGCGCUUGCGAUUUCUUUUACUAACGAACAAAAAGAUUUUUGAUGUUUAUUCUACAGCUCCACACGUCCCUCUGUGAAAACAUGAUGGAGACAGAUGCAGGACGUGGGUCCUUUCGUGAACAGAUGUGAACGGGGUGGAGACUGGUGAACGACUUCUGACCCCAUAGGACGCUCUGACCCAACACUCAGCCUUACAGGAAGCCCUGCUUCCCUGUGGCUCACACACAGACAUGAUGUAGGUUUGAUCAGAGGAUGUGAACCAGUGGUCAUCACACCUAAAUCUGACCACAGACCAUGUAAACAACAACACCCUCUUAAAGGAAGCUAUAGAUGGCGUUACUGCAGACACCACUAAGCUACUGAAACAUUGGAUGCUACAGGCCACAAAGAGAGCCUGUCUAAAUUACAGUUUGUUCAGACAAAGGUUAUUUUCUGGGUCAUUGUAAUUACAGCUGAUGGCAAAUCCAUCUCACCCAACUGAGUUAAAGCAAUUUGAAACCUGCCUAAACCGUGCACGUAAAAACAGCUGAUGUUUUUUCUAGGUCUUUGUUCUUAUUGUAGGACCUUCAGUCCUAACUUUACCUUCUCUGAGGUCCCACUCAGGGUUCUGAUGCAGACGUCUUCAUCGUCCACUUCUUGUCUCACGUGGACGCUUGAGGCUGAACAACGUUCACCGACCUCAUGCUUGCUCUUCAGUCGACUCCUACUUUGGGUCUUCCUGAUCUGACCCUACGCGACCUUUCACUCAAACAGUGGAUGAGAAAUCAGGUUGUACGACUUCUGUUCUUUUGUCCUCAUACUGUGUCUUUGAUUCUUUUGAAAAACAUCACAUCUUUCCACAGCUCGACGGCUUAGAUACAACACCACCUUACUCAACAUGCUGAACGUUACUAUCAAGACGUCGUCUUGAAGUCUGGCACUUUGCUAAGACACUACUCUGCUCAGGCUGCAGAGUUGAUUGUGUUGACUGAAGCUAUUAAACUAGCAGAAGGAGAGUCUGUUACCAUCUACACAGACUCACAGACGCUCUGUGGAAGCAUGGGAAGCUUUGAAGUCUGAUUGCAAACCUAUCUUACAUCAUGAUAAGGUUCUGCUUUGCUGGACGCUGUCCUGCUGCCUACAGCUAAUGCUGUUUGUAACUGUCCAACAUCAGUGACGACUUUGUUUCUGCCGACAUGCAGCUGCAGACGCUGCUGCGAAGGUCGCUGCCCAACAACCCCUCCCUCUCCUGAUCCUUGUUUCCUCUCCUGAUCCUUGUUUCCUCUCUCCAACUCUCUCUAUCCUUUCCUUCCUCUCUCCCUGUGCUUUAAACAUUUUGUACCUCACAGGAACGCAGACUCUGGCUGACGAAUGGUUCCACCUGUAGCCAUGGAGUCUGGUUUGGGCCUGAUGGAAGCAGUGCCGCCCAAACACUUUUUCCCCACAAUUCAGAUUUCCCAACAGGUGAAAACAGGCGACAGGACCACUACACCAUCCAACCAGGGCACGGGCGAUCGUUAAGGAGUUCAGGAGGAAGCACUGGACCUCCAAACGGUGGCGAGGCCCCUUCCAGGUCCUUCUGACGACCCACACGGCUGUAAAGAUCGCAGAGAGAGCGACUUGGACCAACUCCAUCCAGGAAGGUCCCGGAUCCGACAGACGACCCUCCAUCUACACCACACGGAGAAAACCACCACUGACAUAAAGAACUGAGAAGGACGACCCUCGCUGUGCUCACACACGCACUGAGGCGAGGCUGCGUUGACCAUUCAGCUAAAGGUGUGAGCCAAGCGCCGCCUGAAGCUGCGCCGGUGAAUCACACUAUCAGACCAUACAUCUACACACACGCUCCUGAGAAAACACACACACGAGCAGCCUUGAGUUGCCGACGCUGGACGACGUGUAGACUCUUCACAUCAUGGGAGUGACAGUGACUCAGACGACAUUGGGAGGAAACCUGGCGGUGAUAACGAACCCCAAAUGUCUCUGUGAUCAGCUGAUCACAACCUGAAGAACUCCAACGAACUGACAAUACUUCAACACACAGGUUGGAAACAAUCUAACGCUACUGUUCAACAGGAAGAAGCAGAUUGUUACAAGACAUCAAUUGUAACCUUGUUUUGUUAAACUUCAUUUUAUGUUACAUGGAUUGUUGUCUUUAUCAUAUGAUGUUUCUAUGUAACUUUACACACUACUUUUGAAUGAGAAAAUUUCACAUAAUUCACAACACUGAGUUUAAAUAUCCUAAAGUUGAUUUGGUGUUUAAUUUGCUCACAAUCACUUAUUCACUGCUACAAUUAGUUUUUAUCCUUUAUCUACAGAUGACAGAGGUUAUGAGACAAAACGCAUCAUCAUUCUGGUUAAAUCCCUGAAUCUCCUAUUCGCUCUAGACGCAAAUGUACAAUUAAAGAUCCGAAAGCAUGAAAUCUAUCUUAAGAUUAUAUGAUACAGAACCCCACCGGAAACCUAUGGCUAUCAUACAUUAAUUAUCUUUAUUACAUUACAAUUGAAUGGCCGUAGACACGUUGUUAGCAGAGAAAAAAGGCGGUUGUGUUAUGUUUGGAGACGCAUAUUGUACUUACAUCCUGAAUAACACUGAUUCUAAUGGUAUUGUGGCGAAGGCGCUACACGGCCUUCAGAAUCUCAGCUAACUCUGGUAUAGGUUCUUCCUCUUGGAAUUGGCUAGACGAAAUGUCUGGAAAAUGGAAAUCUGUUCUCAUGUCUGCAGCUGUUUCCUUUAUCAUUGUGAUGGCUGUGAUUCUCUUGUUUGGUUUUUACGUUAUCCCACUGGUUAGAGGUCUCAUCAUGCGUGCGACCUCAGCAACACUCUCGUAUGAGAUGACACAAUGCACUAUGUUCAAAAACCCCAACUCUAACUCACUUAAUGACUUUGACGAUGGUAUUGGCUUAUUUUCUUCACAUGCCAAUACAGAGGUUAUUCUUGUUUAACUACCCACCAAAAACAGCUCCCAACCUUUUGUCCCUUAGUUACUUCCAUUUUAUGUGAAGGUGUAUUUUGAAUCUUGAUGAGUUAAUACCCUUAUUGUUUCAUUUGCAAGGAUCUUUUAUUAUUACAGAAUGUGAUGUUGACAAUUUUUAUUCCUUCAUGGUUUGAUUAAUGUGUAAUCAAAAGGGGGGAGUGUUAUGGGAAAAAUUGUCUCUUCCUUAUUUCUAUGCAUUUCUAUGCAGUUAUUAUACGAGUUAUGACUUAUGUUCUGCAAUUAAUAUCUUAUGUUUUGUCUUACUGUAUGCAUUUGACAUUUCACCUAGAUUGUUCAAUGGUUGUCUCUGCCUGAUAGACUCUCAACUCUAGCUCCCAAACCCAAGGUCGGGGAGUUGUGUCUCUGUCUGUUGAGACUUGGUGCUCCUUUCUCACAGAUAGUUGGACGUCAGCGAUGCAGGUGUGAGAAAGUAAAAAUCUUCACACACACUGCGACAGGGAGGAGAUGGUGCAUGUAAUUUGAUUGGGUUAGAAAGACAUUCCACCCUAGUCGGACAGAGAAGCUAAACGGCAGAAGCAACUUGAGGAUCGUGGGCUCUUUGCAUCACACCUUCGUGGUGUGUGCACUGAUCUCCCCAGCUGGUUUUUGGUUUGUUGAUGUGCACGAUCAACAUCCAUGCUUUUUAUUUGCUUUCCCCAUUAUUUUUAUUUUCUUUAUUAUUUCAAUAAAUCGCACAAAAGGACAA